GAAGGUUUUGAAUUUGUUUAUCAAUCUCCAACUGAGUCAGGUUUAGGCCUUUUAUGAUGAAUUUUAGGAUCAACUGAUGUAUGCAACUUAUUGUUUUGAUUUAUGAUUAGUGGAGUUCGACACUUUGUCCAGUUUUGAUUUAGGAUCAACUGAUGUAUGCAAAUAGACGUUCGAACUUACUGUUUUGAUUUAACAAUAUUCUAUGCGAGUAAAUAGGAUUUAAGUUUCGCAAUAUAUAAAACAGUGACUAGUUAUAAACUAUAGAUCCCAGGAGACCAUGAAUUCAACCCAUCAAUCAAGAACAAAAUAAUAAUCGAACAAAGAACAAG
rnacentral:lncRNA from 1 species